GAGACCGGCGCACGGGUGCGUAACGCGUAUGCAAUCUACCUUUUACAGAGGGAUAGCCCAGAGAAAUUUGGAUUAAUACCUCAUAGUAUUAUAGAAUGGCAUCAUUUUAUAAUUAAAGUCACAACGGUAAAAGAUGAGCAUGCGUCCCAUUAGCUAGUUGGUAAGGUAACGGCUUACCAAGGCUACGAUGGGUAGGGGUCCUGAGAGGGAGAUCCCCCACACUGGUACUGAGACACGGACCAGACUCCUACGGGAGGCAGCAGUGAGGAAUAUUGGACAAUGGGCGCAAGCCUGAUCCAGCCAUGCCGCGUGCAGGAUGACGGUCCUAUGGAUUGUAAACUGCUUUUAUACGAGAAGAAACACUACUUCGUGAAGUAGCUUGACGGUAUCGUAAGAAUAAGGAUCGGCUAACUCCGUGCCAGCAGCCGCGGUAAUACGGAGGAUCCAAGCGUUAUCCGGAAUCAUUGGGUUUAAAGGGUCCGUAGGCGGUUUAGUAAGUCAGUGGUGAAAGCCCAUCGCUCAACGGUGGAACGGCCAUUGAUACUGCUGAACUUGAAUUAUUAGGAAGUAACUAGAAUAUGUAGUGUAGCGGUGAAAUGCUUAGAGAUUACAUGGAAUACCAAUUGCGAAGGCAGGUUACUACUAAUUGAUUGACGCUGAUGGACGAAAGCGUGGGUAGCGAACAGGAUUAGAUACCCUGGUAGUCCACGCCGUAAACGAUGGAUACUAGCUGUUGGGAGCAAUCUCAGUGGCUAAGCGAAAGUGAUAAGUAUCCCACCUGGGGAGUACGUUCGCAAGAAUGAAACUCAAAGGAAUUGACGGGGGCCCGCACAAGCGGUGGAGCAUGUGGUUUAAUUCGAUGAUACGCGAGGAACCUUACCAAGGCUUAAAUGUAGUUUGACCGAUUUGGAAACAGAUUUUUCGCAAGACAAAUUACAAGGUGCUGCAUGGUUGUCGUCAGCUCGUGCCGUGAGGUGUCAGGUUAAGUCCUAUAACGAGCGCAACCCCUGUUGUUAGUUGCCAGCGAGUCAUGUCGGGAACUCUAACAAGACUGCCAGUGCAAACUGUGAGGAAGGUGGGGAUGACGUCAAAUCAUCACGGCCCUUACGCCUUGGGCUACACACGUGCUACAAUGGCCGGUACAGAGAGCAGCCACUGGGCGACCAGGAGCGAAUCUAUAAAACCGGUCACAGUUCGGAUCGGAGUCUGCAACUCGACUCCGUGAAGCU
rnacentral:rRNA from 1 species